GCCAUGCGCGAUGAUGAGGUGAUCGCGUAUCUUCUCGCCGGUCUCGACCCUGAAUAUGAUCCCUUUGUCACCUCGAUGACAACCAAGAGUGAACCACUCACGCUUGAUGAUGUGUUUGCACAUCUGAUGGAGUUUGAAGC